GUGCGCAAGUUGAGGGUUUCAUCACACGGAAGUUGAUCUAAAGUUGGUUGGAAAAUCGACAGACGCAAGUCUGUAAUACGGUUUUUGAAUGUCGAAUUACCAAUGUUUGAUAUAAAACCAACGUAACCACGGUGACCCUGACCACGUCGUCAAACCGAAACUGGAUGUGUUUGUGAAGGCUUGGGACUGACGGCAUAGCUAUUAUUUUGUUCCCACCGACCAAUACUGCCAUCCAAGAGGAGAAAGGCAACCAACACCAGAGGAACAAUUUAUCAUGAGUCACAGUCUGAACAUGGAAGGUACUGCUAAACAACAGCAGGAACACAAUAAUGACUGUCAGACGAACAAGACAGAACACUGGCUACUCAAAUUCGCUGAAAUGGUAGGACAGAGUAUCUGUCAGAAGCACAAAGACGAACUGGACCUCUGGAGGCCAACCUGUUUUUUUUGCGCUUGUCAAGAAGAUGAGCUAUUUCCCAAGCUAAUGCAGGUGUUUCUGAAGAAAAAAAUAACACCGUCUGGGGAAAAAGAUGGUGACGAGAGACAUUCUGAUGACAAGGAACCCUCCACUGCCUCUACCUCUCAAGAUAUCAUCAUGCAGAAUUUAAGCCUUGGCCAGAAAAGAAGUCUGCCUAAUGAGAAUGAUGGUGAAGUCCAAUCCACCGCCUCCGCCUCUGAAGUUCUUAGUAAGCAGAAUUUAAGCCUUGGCCAGAAAAGAAGUCGACCUAAUGAGGAUGAUGGUGAAGUCCACUCCACCGCCACCACCUCCACCUCUGAAGAUUCAUGGGUUCAUGUGGCCCGGUCAGAUUGUGAUGAAAUGCCUUCUGAAGACAAGCAAUACUCCACCACCUCUAACUCUGAAGGGCCUUCAGCGAAGACAUAUUACACUCUUGCUCCUGGAAAGUCGGCAGAAUACUCUAAGGAUAUCAAAACAUGGCUCAAACACCUGUCUGAAGUGAAAUCGAUACAGAGUUGUGAUAUGAUCCUGGCUACCUGCAUGGUUGUGUCUCGUGUUGGAACAGAUGUUGAAGCAGCACUGAAAGACAUCCCUGAAGCCAAGCCGACCAUUCUGGUGGUUAUGCACCAUACCUUUGAUCCUGAUUGUGUACUACCAGACAGCAGUAGGUUUACCAAAAGGGAGGACAUGCUCAUUGUGGACUGUCUGUUUAAUGAGGAUAAUGGAUUAUUGAGAUGUGAAAGAAAUGGCAUUGCACAAUCUACAAUGCUGAAAUGGAUCAACGCAAAGGUGUCCAUUAAAGAAACACCAUGGACUGUUUCCUCAUUCUUUGGUUGGUCCUGA
rnacentral:lncRNA from 1 species